CCUUUCAAAUCUAUCCUCCAAAAUCUUAGAAGAAGCAAGUAGAGAUAUUUACUUUCUAACUUCUCUUACUUUACCUACUCAUAGAAUCUUGAAAUCACCAUUACAAGUAUUUAAAGAUUAAUGAUUUUACUAUUAGUUGGGAAUUAUUGUAGUGUGUUAUGUUAUAGAUGUAAAGUUGGUUCGAAAGGGUUCCUAAUAACAACUACAAUAAUGCUUCAACUGGGGUAAUCCUUUGGUUUUCACUGAGACGACUAUUUCAACCGGGGUAAUCCGUUGGUUUCCAUAAAUGGGAUAUUCAGCUUCAUCUAAUGUCAUUAGUUGUCGGUGCAAUACACGAAAAGAUAAACAGAAGCCGGUGUUGGUUAAUGGCGGGAGCUGUUCCCGGCGAUGAUUCAUCUUGGUGAUUUGUUUUCAAAUUUGAUAUAUGCUUUUUUGAUGGAUUUGUAUAGACAUAGAUUUGAUAUUAAUACUGAGUUGCUACUGUACCGGUUCGAGUUACUACACUAACAUAUGUGAGUGGCACCGAAUUUCCAUUCUAGAAUAUGUAUUAAUCCAUUGUCAGUUUGUUAUG